UUUUCAAGUCACCAACGUAUAACACUUCGCUCUCACAACCAAAUCAGAGAAGAACAUAUUAACUCGUUCUCACCACCGACACUUCGCGCCACUCAAUCCCAAAUCGGAGGAAGGUUUCGCCGUCACCACUCACCAUGCACUACUCGCCACUCCACCAGAACCGUAGCUCCCUCUUCGCUGUGUGCUCACCGUUCUUCUUCCUCGCUCAACACUCACCACUCACCACUCACCACUCACCACUCGAGAACCAUUGCUCCUCUUCGCUGCAUGCUUACAUCGGGAAGACUCUGUGGUCCGCACCGUCGUCCCUUCGCUCACCAUUGUCGAGAAGGUGAAAUCGUACCCAACACUCCGUUCAAACAGGUGAGCUUGGCCACUACCAACCUUGCCCCGGGUUUCAGGAAGUUCUUAACUGGGGUCUGUUGCCACAACAAAUAAUACAUCUGUCUCGUCCCUCACAUUUUAUUCAUCAUGAAUGAGGGGAUGCAUUACUAAGAUUUUUACCAAAACUUAGUCACCAGUUGAAGCCUUUCAGAGCCAUAUUCCAGUAUGCAUUUUCAUCAUUGUUUCACACUGCUAUCGCUGAUCAUAUGUAAAACAGGAUUUUUUUUCUUCUCAUUGGCUUCCGCAACAUUCCUAAAAGACUAAAGCCUCUUCUUCGCAGCACAGGUGUUGAGCUUUCAUAUGGUAAAGUGGUUGAAACAAAAGUUUUCGACUGUUGAGAAGGAAGAAUAGCAAUACCAGAAACAAUCUAUUCUGGCAGAGUCUGAAUUGUAUUGCCGUCACGCUUGUGGAACAAUUCUGUUAAUAAUUUCUACUUAGUGUUAGUGUGUAUAUCACUGUAUAAAACUGAGAUUGAGACAACUGUAUUCACUCAACUAUAUUGAUAUGUUAGUUGGUUACUUUAAUCACAA